AUACGGAAACCCGGAAAUCUUUUCACCGUUGUCGUUUUUAUACUAUGACGCAAAAUCCAUGGACGCUCGUCUGCUGCUGAAUUCAUGUUUUAAAAGAAUGGACAAAGAUAGUCAGAUAGUUGAUACAAAGACCUUUGAUUUUUCAAACUGAUGGAUCAAAAAGUUAUUAUAAACAGAUAUAUUGAAAUGGCCGACUCAAAAUCAUGCUGUUAAUUAGGGCCCCCUGUUGUACAUGUACUUAGGAAUCGGACACCUCCAGAAGAUGAAAGAUCUACUUUACAUCUUUUUCAACGAAAGUACAAUUACUUUGAGAAGUAGGAGAAGCUAAGCAACAGGACAGAAUUCAUUUGAGGCAUUGCUUUCUAGAUUAUAUAGUGGAGUCAUAGAUUGUCCUAUUGAUUUAUGUGGAUAUGAGGAGCAGUAGUCAAUGAAUAAUUUUGUGAUGAGAGAAUUAGCUCCUCAGAUGUAAGUGGAAGGGAAGCUAUAUACAUUAUAUGUUUAAAUGAAAUUAACAACAGGAUUAGAUAUUGAGGAGAUCCUAUAGCUACAGUAUAUAUAAAUGUAACUGCAACUGUAUUCCAAGAACCUGAUGGCUGAUAAUGUAUUACAGGAUUUUAUCAUUCAAGCAACAUCUUAGAAGGAUAAGUGCAAAUGUAUGAAGGAAGCCUUGGGUACAAAUAGCAAUUACAGCAAUUACAUGCAGGAGAGAACUCUUAACAUUACUAACAGACAUGUAGUCAUUAUAUGGGAGUGGUGUAUUCAAGAAAUCUAAAACACAUGGAAUUAAAUAUCGUGUAUAUUUUUUCAACCACAAGUACUCUCAGAAUAUAAUACAAUUCAAAUUCAAAUUAUUGUGCCAACAUGACAAUUACAGUCUAAAAAUGGAAAAUGCAUGUUUUAAACUGAUUUUUAUAUAAAUAUUUGAAAUAACAAGAA